ACGUGGAUAACCUACCUAUAAGACUGGGAUAACUUCGGGAAACCGGAGCUAAUACCGGAUAAUAUUUUGAACCGCAUGGUUCAAAAGUGAAAGACGGUCUUGCUGUCACUUAUAGAUGGAUCCGCGCUGCAUUAGCUAGUUGGUAAGGUAACGGCUUACCAAGGCAACGAUGCAUAGCCGACCUGAGAGGGUGAUCGGCCACACUGGAACUGAGACACGGUCCAGACUCCUACGGGAGGCAGCAGUAGGGAAUCUUCCGCAAUGGGCGAAAGCCUGACGGAGCAACGCCGCGUGAGUGAUGAAGGUCUUCGGAUCGUAAAACUCUGUUAUUAGGGAAGAACAUAUGUGUAAGUAACUGUGCACAUCUUGACGGUACCUAAUCAGAAAGCCACGGCUAACUACGUGCCAGCAGCCGCGGUAAUACGUAGGUGGCAAGCGUUAUCCGGAAUUAUUGGGCGUAAAGCGCGCGUAGGCGGUUUUUUAAGUCUGAUGUGAAAGCCCACGGCUCAACCGUGGAGGGUCAUUGGAAACUGGAAAACUUGAGUGCAGAAGAGGAAAGUGGAAUUCCAUGUGUAGCGGUGAAAUGCGCAGAGAUAUGGAGGAACACCAGUGGCGAAGGCGACUUUCUGGUCUGUAACUGACGCUGAUGUGCGAAAGCGUGGGGAUCAAACAGGAUUAGAUACCCUGGUAGUCCACGCCGUAAACGAUGAGUGCUAAGUGUUAGGGGGUUUCCGCCCCUUAGUGCUGCAGCUAACGCAUUAAGCACUCCGCCUGGGGAGUACGACCGCAAGGUUGAAACUCAAAGGAAUUGACGGGGACCCGCACAAGCGGUGGAGCAUGUGGUUUAAUUCGAAGCAACGCGAAGAACCUUACCAAAUCUUGACAUCCUUUGACAACUCUAGAGAUAGAGCCUUCCCCUUCGGGGGACAAAGUGACAGGUGGUGCAUGGUUGUCGUCAGCUCGUGUCGUGAGAUGUUGGGUUAAGUCCCGCAACGAGCGCAACCCUUAAGCUUAGUUGCCAUCAUUAAGUUGGGCACUCUAAGUUGACUGCCGGUGACAAACCGGAGGAAGGUGGGGAUGACGUCAAAUCAUCAUGCCCCUUAUGAUUUGGGCUACACACGUGCUACAAUGGACAAUACAAAGGGCAGCGAAACCGCGAGGUCAAGCAAAUCCCAUAAAGUUGUUCUCAGUUCGGAUUGUAGUCUGCAACUCGACUACAUGAAGCUGGAAUCGCUAGUAAUCGUAGAUCAGCAUGCUACGGUGAAUACGUUCCCGGGUCUUGUACACACCGCCCGUCACACCACGAGAGUUUGUAACACCCGAAGCCGGUGGAGUAACCUUUUAGGAGCUAGCCGUCGAAGGUGGGACAAAUGAUUGGGGUGAAGUCGUAACAAGGUAGCCGUAUCGGAAGGUGCGGCUGGAUCACCUCCUUU
rnacentral:rRNA from 1 species